CUACAAUAUUUAAGGAAUUUACGAAAAUUCCGAUAUUUCAACACCGUCGAAAUUAUUCCACUAUGAUUCAUAGGUUUAAUUAAUUCCUCCUAGAUACGGCUAACUAAGUAACUAAUAACCGUGAAAUAAGAAAGAAAAAUCAAAUCUACUUUGUCUUUGGACCAAAAAAGUCGACGAUGAAUUUUUUUAUUAUUAUUUUAUUACUAGCAUUUCUUAUUAUGAACACCAUUGCACAGGUACCCUAUGACUACAUACCAUUGGGUAGGAAAUCUCGCGAUCGGCCGCGGCCCUACGCUUCGGACGUCAAUCUGAAUUAUGAACGACUUUACCCCGCACGGCGUAAAUAUCUCGAUUAGUAAAGUUUUAAUUAUAAGCAUUGGUAUUGGUUACUUUAUCAUUUAAAUUAUCGUAAUCGAAAAGACAUAAAAUAAAUAAAACUUCUU